rnacentral:rRNA from 1 species
GACAGAGGUGCCAAGCGUUAGGCGGAAUCACUGGGCUUAAAGCGUGUGUAGGCGGGUGCCUAAGUACCUUGUGAAAUCCCACGGCUCAACCGUGGAACUGCUGGGUAUACUGGGUGCCUUGGGUCAUCUAGGGGCUGCCGGAACAAAUGGUGGAGCGGUGAAAUGCGUUGAUAUCAUCAGGAACACCGGAGGCGAAGGCGGCUCACUGGGGCUUUUCUGACGCUGAGGAACGAAAGCCAGGGUAGCGAACGGG